rnacentral:RNase_P_RNA from 1 species
AAAGUUGGCCGGACAGUCGCUGCCUGAGUAAUCGGGGAGAGGAAAGUCCGGGCUUCACAGGGCAGGAUGCCGGCUAACGGCCGGGCGCCGCGAGGCGACGGAAAGUGGAACAGAGAGCUGAACCGCCGAACUCCGGGCAACCGGGGUGGCAAGGGUGAAAAGGUGCUUCGCGUGUUAUAGCGUGGAGGGUGUCCGUAAGGAUAUCGUGUAAGAGACCACCGCGGACGUGGCAACACGGACGGCAGGCUAAACCCCAUCCGAAGCAAGACCAAAUAGGCAGACGUUGACGGGGCCCCCUGAGUCUGCGGGUAGGUUGCUGGAGGCAUGUGGUAACGCAUGCCCUAGAGGAAUGACUGUCGGUGGCGGCGCAAGCCGCUGCGCCACAGAACCCGGCUUACAGGCCGACUUUGCAC